CUAAGAAGCUGACAAACAGAAGGUUUAACUGACUAAAUAACUGACAAACAGAAGGUUUAACUGACUAAAUAACUGACAAACAGAAGGUUUAACUGACUAAGAAGAUGACAAACAGAAGGUUUAACUGACUAAAUAACUGACAAACAGAAGGUUUAACUGACUAAAUAACUGACAAACAGAAGGUUUAACUGACUAAGAAGCUGACAAACAGAAGGUUUAACUGACUAAAUAACUGACAAAC